AGUAGCCAACCAGAACUGGCCCUCGCAGCCAAGUUGCUGUGACGUCCGCCACUAGACACCGACUAUGGUGGAGGGACGCAACAGUCGGUUAGAUUGAAGCGGAGACUGCGCGACUCUCAAUCGAAUCUUAUACCAUGCAGACUAAGCAGUGUGCUUCGCUGUCAGGACGUCAGCACAUAGCCGACAAUAUCUCCUGGCUAAGCAUGUAGUCGCAACUGGUAGCUUUGCCUGGCACGCGGGUUCAACUCCCGCCGCCUCCACCA
rnacentral:tmRNA from 1 species